AACGCACAUUGCGCCCGCCAGUAUUCUGGCGGGCAUGCCUGUCCGAGCGUCAUUUCAACCCUCGAGCCCCCCCGGGGCUUGGUGUUGGGGAUCGGCCCGCCCCUGGCGGCGCGCCGGCCCCGAAAUCUAGUGGCGGUCCCGCUGUAGCCUCCUCUGCGUAGUAGCACACCUCGCACCGGAACGCAGCGCGGCCACGCCGUUAAACCCCCCACUUCUGAAGGUUGACCUCGGAUCAGGUAGGAAUACCCGCUGAACUUAA
rnacentral:misc_RNA from 1 species